rnacentral:lncRNA from 1 species
UAUAUUCAUCCUCAUAAUCUCCAACUGUAAUACUGCACCCUCACAGCUUUCAGCACACAAUUAUCCUUGUUCCAAUCACUGGAAUUCUUCACACAAAACUGCCAUUCAUAUUACAGUGUUUCAUACAAACACAGACUCAUUCUCUCUGCUAAACUACAAUCAGAUUUCAGCAUUCAAUCUUUCUUCUUCUUAAAUAAUACCAAUCACAUUUCCAUUCCAUAAUUCACUUCACAAUAUUCAGAAACUUUCAAUCCUCUUAUUUAAAGAAAAUAACAAACAAAAGAAAAGAGGUAGUACCAAGCUUACCCCGGCUCACAACUCUCAUAGUCUGGCAUUUUCUUCCCCUCUCCCAUCCUCCUUAUACUACCCCGAGAUACCAACUCCUAUACUAUAGAUGAUAACUACUUUUCUUGACUAUUCAUCCAUUCUACCUGCUGAACCAUCUUUUCAGCAGUUAUCUAUCCCUGUUUACACUAUACCAGUAGGUAUCUACAUUCCGAAAAUAACUACUUAUUCUACAUAGCUCCACUCCUAAUUGUGCAACGUCCUCGCAAAUAUUCAAUUGAUACCUAUCUAAAAAUUAUCUAACAAAACUCUACAAAAAUUGCGAUCCCUCUAGCCUAUCUAAUUAAUCAAUUGCCGCAGUAUCUGUUAUUGGUUCUACCGAUUC